rnacentral:tRNA from 1 species
GGGGAUGUGGCUCAGUGACAGAGCACUCGCCUAGCAUGUGUGAGGCACUGGGUUUAAUCCUCAGCACCACA